GCAUGCCUACAACAUAGAGUUAAUGAAACAGAUCCCAUUAGAACUCCGCAAUUAAGCGCGUUCAAGCUAGAGUAGUACUAGGAUGGGUGAUGGCUCAAGAAGUCUUAGUAUUUUACAUUCC
rnacentral:rRNA from 1 species